UGAGGAGGUGUUAACCACCGAAGGGA
rnacentral:piRNA from 1 species